rnacentral:lncRNA from 1 species
AAAUCGAAUAAAACAAUGAAAGUGCAUGCCCGAAGGAAAGUGGCAGCGAAUAGCAUGUUAAAGUUGGGAUUUUAUACCUAGAAGCUCCUAAGGAACUUUUAAAGAAAACUAAAGUUAUUUUGAUGAAUCUUCAAAGCUAAAUUUAUUCAGUUGAAAAAGGGUUUGAAAGAUCAAUUCAAAACUGUAAAUUCUCAAUGAAGAAAAUGGAGGAAGAGGUGUGCGUCAAGAUGGCCAUGCUAGAAGUAGAGUUUGGAAGCAUGAAGGUGCUAAUGAUUCAGCUAUUGAUACUUGCAUGAAAAGAC